GCAGACACAUUCCAGCCAAUCAGCAGCAGACCCUCCCUCCCAGACCCUCCCACCUCCUGGACAGCUCACUAAGAAUACAGCUUCAAAAUGGAUGCUGUCCAGGAGUUGGGAGGGUCUGGGAGGGAGGGUCUGCUGCUGAUUGGCUGGAAUGUGUCUG